rnacentral:misc_RNA from 1 species
CGUCUUCAAGUUUGACUCACCAUCCAAAUUCAUUGUUUGGAUGUAAGCGAUACCGCUAGGAUCACUAGUCCCUAGUAAAACCAUGUCACAAGGAAUUGUCUCAUCAGCACAGAUCUUCACCACUUCACCAGCUCGUAUCUUUUUCCAUCUUUUAUGUUGGAAGUGGCCAGAUUGUAGCACUAGAGCCUCUCUGUUGUUCUCAUUGCGGUCUGAUCUGUGCCUUCGCCAAUCCUCAUAGCCAUCUUUAAUAGCUGU